UGUGUGUGUGUGUGUGUGUUCCUGCAGACACCAGCUAUGCGUGGAACAAGGACAAUGGUCAGUGGUACUACUUUGACGACAGUAAGGUGACGUACGCCAGAGAGGACCAGAUCAUGACCAACGCUGCCUACGUGCUGUUCUACCAUCGACAGGACCGGAUCAGAACACCCAGCCUGCCCCCCCCCACCAGCAGCCCCGCCUCCUCCUCCUCCUCCACUCAGCCCGCCAACGACAUCACUUCCUGUAAGGACGACGACACUGCAGAGCUGGGCGCCGCCUCCUCCUCCGCCUCCAUGGAAACGGACUAAAUGAUCACUUGAUUGAGUUGAAUGCUUCUUCACAGUAACGGGUUUUCUUUCUCUCCUUCGUGAGAACAACGGGAUUCUUUUUGUUUUUUAAUUAUCUUCCAACAACACUUGAACUUUCUCUGAUUACUUUUCCCUCAAAACGUCGUCGGCUCGUCUUUCAUCUGUAAACGAUGAAACAUUUGAUCCUCAGGUAGUCAGAGCGACGGUUAAUCUGCUUUCUACUGAUUAUCAGCAACAAUAUUUAUGAUCAAUAAUUCAUCCAGUGAACUAAUUUGAUCUUCAUCUAUUUAAAUACGUUUAAAUGAUGCGUUAUUACAACUCGAAAGUAAAGAAAGAAACACAAAGAUCAACUUUGUCUUUAGAUGAAUUCAUGGAUUUUCAAAAUAAAAUCAAAAUAAUUUGCUUUAAAAAGUAUUUAGUUUGUUUUUAAAACUUCAGUUUUAUAAUGCAUCGUUUAAACGUAAUAAAAGAUAUUUAACAGAAACUAAAAUAAAACAAGGUUCCAUAUUUGAUAUAAAAUAUUUAAAAGCUAUAAACACGAGUUAUAUAUUUAUAAGAAGACGUGUUAACGUAGUUUAUUAAAAACAAACAUCCAAUAUUACACAAAAGUAGAAGCUCUUAAAUAUUCACAUAAAUUAGUUUAACCUGAACUUUGUCUGCAGAUUAAUAACUUUUCCAUGUUUUUAGGUGAAAGCACUUCUUUGUAUUAAACUCAUUAAAGUGGCCCGAGGAGCCAAGUGAAAGGGAUUCUGGGUAAUCGGUGUGUUUAUAGCAGAUCAUUUAAUAUUGAACAAAGCUGCCGGGGAAGAGAAGUUAAUUCACGUCUUUGUAUAUUUUGGUUGUUUUUCUGGUAUUUAUUUUUUUAAUGGAAUAAGUUGGGCGGUCACACGACGUCAGUUUGUUUUGAGUUGUUGGUCGACGACGUGUUUAUUUUUCAUAUUUAUAGGUGAAGCUUUGAGAUGAUUUGACGGAGGUUUAGUGUUGAGCGCUCACUGAUCCUAGGAGCAGCUCUGUGUACAGUAUUUUUGUAUUGUAAGAGAUGUAUUCAUAUUAAUAUUAUUGUUGUUGCUGGGCGGCGCUUGGGCUGAUUUCUUUCUUUGGUCUUCCUGUCAAAUAUCAGAUGAAAAUAUUUUAUUGUACUUUCAAUCUUUUGAUAUGAAUAAAAGGACGAUUAUUAUCACGACGA